GGGAAGCUGUAGCCACGCCUACUUACUGCCUGGCUACUGGUGUGCCUGACCACGCCUUCGAGGGCGUGGUCAGGGUGACUAGAGUAAGAGGCGGUCAGGUGGCUGGGUACUUUCGGUUUUGCUUUCCCUUGCUCUACAGACUGCUUUCGCACCAGCUGGCUACGUUGCUCUGAUUCUUGUAAGUUCCAAGGAGCUGAAUUGGAUCCAAACAAACAGGUCUAAGAGGCG
rnacentral:lncRNA from 1 species